CAGUAGCCGCGGUAAUACGUAGGGUGCAAGCGUUAAUCGGAAUUACUGGGCGUAAAGCGUGCGCAGGCGGUUAUAUAAGACAGAUGUGAAAUCCCCGGGCUCAACCUGGGAACUGCAUUUGUGACUGUAUAGCUAGAGUACGGCAGAGGGGGAUGGAAUUCCGCGUGUAGCAGUGAAAUGCGUAGAUAUGCGGAGGAACACCGAUGGCGAAGGCAAUCCCCUGGGCCUGUACUGACGCUCAUGCACGAAAGCGUGGGGAGCAAACAGGAUUAGAUACCCGGGUAGUCCCUGUCUCUUAUAA
rnacentral:rRNA from 1 species